GGUAAGGUGGCUCAGUGGUAGAGCGCUUACCUUGCGUGUCUGAGGCCCUGGGUUCAAUUCCUCAGCACCA
rfam:Dipodomys ordii contig_51409, whole genome shotgun sequence.